AGAAACUGGCAUUAAGACCUAGGAACUUUUUUGAAAACCAAAAUAUUUCUUGAACACUGGGGAUGAGGUUUUUUUUUUUUUUUUUUUGAUGGAGUCUCACACUGUCUUCCGGCCUGGAGUGCAGUGGCGCAAUCUCGGCUCACUGCAACAUUCACCUCCCAGGUUCUAAGUGAUUCCAGGAGAAUCACCCAGCCUCCCAAGGAGCUGGGAUUACAGGUAUGAGCCACUGUGCCCAGCCAUGGGUUUUUUAAAUUUUUUUUAGACAGAGUCUUGCUCUGUCACCCAAGCUGGAGUGCAGUGGUGCAAUCUCAGCUCACUGCAGCUUCCGCCUCCCGGGUUCAAGUGAUUCUUCUGCCUCAGCCUCCUGAGUAGCUGGGAUUAUAGGUGCCACCACCACGCCCAGCUAAUUUUUGUAUUUUUAAUAGAUAUGGGGUUUUACCAUGUUGGCCAGGCUGGUCUUGAACUCCUGACCUUGUGAUCCACCCACCUCAGCCUCCCAAAGUGCGGGGAUUACAGGCGUGAUCCACCAAGCUUGAUUGAUUUUUUAAAUCUCUAUCAAAAGUUGUAGUCGUACUGUAGUAUUUUCCAAAUAGUUUUGGAAAGUAGUUUUUUAAACGAAAUUUAGUGUUAAAAUGGCA
rnacentral:lncRNA from 1 species